GGCAAGAUGGCCGAGCGGUUAAGGCGUGUGACUCAAGUGUUAAAGCUAGCUUCCUUCUCAUGGGCGAAUGUCCGCGUGGGUUCAAGUCCCACUCUUGUCA
rnacentral:tRNA from 1 species